UACGUAGGGGGCAAGCGUUGUCCGGAUUUAUUGGGCGUAAAGAGCGUGUAGGCGGCCAUGCAGGUCAGCUGUGAAAACUCGAGGCUCAACCUCGAGACGUCGGUUGAAACCGCUUGGCUAGAGUCCGGAAGAGGAGAGUGGAAUUCCCGGUGUAGCGGUGAAAUGCGCAGAUAUCGGGAGGAACACCAGUGGCGAAGGCGAUCACCUGGGGUUGUUCUGACGCUGAGGAGCGAAAGCUAGGGGAGCAAACGGG
rnacentral:rRNA from 1 species